GUCAAAACACACAUAUGCGGUUUUCAUUAACUUGUUCCCUAGAAUGAAAAAGAGAGGCAAGAAGUCCUGUGCUAGGUACAUCCUCUGCAGGAUAGAGCCUCCAGCUUGCCUUUAACUGGGAAGAACAGCAUCUGGAAGCAGUCCACUGCCACGUUUUAUUGGAACAUUCAGAUCACCUCAUGAAAGACCCUGGAGACACAGAGAGCGGAGGAAGGUUAUCAGCCCUGUUGACAUUGAUCCUGGGCCAUCUGUAUCCGUCUUAAUUUGUCAUCCUGGCCAUUCAAGAGCUGAUGACUAGACAGACUUCAAAUGACUUUUAACUUUGUUUUCUAGCACUUAUGGAGGAUACAAAUCUUAAUCUGUGGUCUGCUGUGAUCUCCGAGCCCCCAGACCGGCUUCCAGACAAGGAUAUAACAAAGAGUUCGUGGUUUCUAGAAGGUUCUCAGAGUGGCAAGGUCUACCUUAGAAUGUGCCGACACCAUUAAGAUCCUUUUUUGGUGAAACGUUUCCAGUGAUACUCAGAUGCCCCUGUUCAGAAAGAGCCCGGCCGGAGCGAACGAAAGCAGAUUCCUCCUCCGAAGAGAGCCCAGGCAACAAAUGGAGGCUGGUAAGGAGCACCCGUUGGUAAGAGAGAUAAGAUGACUUGGAACGAGUCUGAGUAUCAGCAAGCCUGCGUUUUCAAACUCAGGCCAACAGCUCGACGUCUAUUUAUGUCAGGUUAGAUCGCACCCUUUGAUAAAGCAUACGGUCACUAGAAAGUGUCCUUUCCUCCCCCUUCCUUCCUCCCGUAGGCAUAAAUUCCCCCUUAUACAGAUCAGUCUGCAGUCAUGAUUGGGUCCACCCUGAUUCAAAACAACCAGGACUUUCAUCUGAGAGGGGGAAAAAAAAAAAUCUAUCCGAACCCACUGUGUGAAAAUUGUAUGGACCCCAAGCAGUUUUAAUUGAACGUUGUACUUUUUACCAUAUACUUCUGCAUCUUUCGUAAAUGGGUUGGAGGCCACUUUGUAUCUAACACAAUGGUACCAACGUUGAAUUUUAAAAACAGAAAUGAAGGACAAUAGGAAAAACUAGUAACACCAAAGCUUGCGUUGGAAGUGGUCCACUAGAAAGUCCUACAGGAUUGUUUAAGGUAUCUCAAAACUUGGCUCUACUCUGCUUAUGGCCAAGGCAAAGCUUAUGCCAAGCACCGGAGAGGGACGCCUAUAAAGGAAAUCUGUGGGUUUCGAUUAUAUGCGUGUAAGAAAUGACCAGUGCUGAAUGGGGAGAGGUCUGCGGAAGCAGCCCUGUAUAGGGACCUCUAAAUAUCCUUUAAUA
rnacentral:lncRNA from 1 species